GAUGACCUGCGAGGAGACGCCCAAAGCUGUGUUCAGACAUGCACUGUGGCCCUGCCCUCAGGAAGAGACCUGAACAGCCGGCACUGUAACCUCCCAGCGCUGUGACCCAGCCUGGAGCCUCAGGGUGACUGGAAAGGGCCCACGGGAGGGGCCCCAGCUGAGUGGGUGACAGGCUGGGCUCUGGGGCUGCUGUCAGCAGGGAGGCAGCACCGGACAGCCAGGAAGAACGGGGGAGGGUCCCUGCUGGGCGCGGGGACCGAGGGGCCCUCAGGCUCACCGGAGGUGCAGGUCCAAGGCCGCUGUCAGACAAGGCAGGUCCAGCAGCAGGUGUAGUGUUUCCACGGCCGUUCCCGCGUCGAGCAGCGCCGGGAGGAGCGCCACGAACUCGGAGGACUGUCUCCAGCCGACGUCAAAAAGGCUACGCAGUGACGUGUCAGUCACAAUAGCCACAUUAAAAACCACUGGCCCCGAAGGGUGGAACACCCUGGCCACGGCUCCCAGGUGAUGAGAUCUUAUUGGACGCUGAGACAUGGACCAAUCCUAUGAGAGCUCAGCCCGACCGCCCCUCUCCCUGGAUUCCGGGCCACCGCCCCAGGACAGCCCCGGGACAGCCGAGCAUGCCUUGAAGAGGUUGGGGAAGCUCAUUCUGAGAAUGCCAAGGUUUCUGCCGAAAAGGGGGAGGCUGUCCCUGCAGAACUGGAUGAACUCGAAGGCCAGCAUUGGGCUGUGGAAGUGUUCAGAAGGGAGCCUGGUGAACAGGUGCUGGUAGA